rnacentral:rRNA from 1 species
GGACUACAGGGGUAUCUAAUCCCGUUCGCUCCCCACGCUUUCGCACCUCAGCGUCAGUCCUAGGCCAGGUAGCCGCCUUCGCCACCGGUGUUCCUCCUGAUAUCUACGCAUUUCACCGCUACACCAGGAAUUCCACUACCCUCUCCCGGACUCAAGUCCCCCAGUAUCCAAGGCACUGUUCACGUUGAGCGCUGAACCUUUCACCCCAGACUUAAAGGACCGCCUACGCGCGCUUUACGCCCAGUAACUUCGGACAACGCUCGCCCCCUACGUAUUACCGCGGCUGCUGGCAC